rnacentral:rRNA from 1 species
AAAUUGAAGAGUUUGAUCAUGGCUCAGAUUGAACGCUGGCGGCAGGCCUAACACAUGCAAGUCGAACGGUAACAGGAAGCAGCUUGCUGCUUUGCUGACGAGUGGCGGACGGGUGAGUAAUGUCUGGGAAACUGCCUGAUGGAGGGGGAUAACUACUGGAAACGGUGGCUAAUACCGCAUAACGUCGCAAGACCAAAGAGGGGGACCUUCGGGCCUCUUGCCAUCRGAUGUGCCCAGAUGGGAUUAGCUGGUUGGUGAGGUAACGGCUCACCAAGGCGACGAUCCCUAGCUGGUCUGAGAGGAUGACCAGCCACACUGGAACUGAGACACGGUCCAGACUCCUACGGGAGGCAGCAGUGGGGAAUAUUGCACAAUGGGCGCAAGCCUGAUGCAGCCAUGCCGCGUGUAUGAAGAAGGCCUUCGGGUUGUAAAGUACUUUCAGCGGGGAGGAAGGUGUUGYGGUUAAUAACCGCAGCAAUUGACGUUACCCGCAGAAGAAGCACCGGCUAACUCCGUGCCAGCAGCCGCGGUAAUACGGAGGGUGCAAGCGUUAAUCGGAAUUACUGGGCGUAAAGCGCACGCAGGCGGUCUGUCAAGUCGGAUGUGAAAUCCCCGGGCUCAACCUGGGAACUGCAUUCGAAACUGGCAGGCUUGAGUCUUGUAGAGGGGGGUAGAAUUCCAGGUGUAGCGGUGAAAUGCGUAGAGAUCUGGAGGAAUACCG